rnacentral:rRNA from 1 species
GACGAACGCUGGCGGCGUGCUUAACACAUGCAAGUCGAACGGUGAAGCGCCUUCCUUUUUGGUGGGUGUGGAUGAGUGGCGAACGGGUGAGUAACACGUGAGUAACCUGCCCCCUUCUUCUGGAUAACCGCAUGAAAGUGUGGCUAAUACGGGAUAUUCUGGGUCUGUCGCAUGAUGGGUCUGGGAAACAUAUUGUUUCGGUGGGGGAUGGGCUCGCGGCCUAUCAGCUUGUUGGUGGGGUGAUGGCCUACCAAGGCGGUGACGGGUAGCCGGCCUGAGAGGGUGGACGGUCACACUGGGACUGAGACACGGCCCAGACUCCUACGGGAGGCAGCAGUGGGGAAUAUUGCACAAUGGGCGCAAGCCUGAUGCAGCGACGCCGCGUGAGGGAUGGAGGCCUUCGGGUUGUGAACCUCUUUCGCCAGUGAAGCAGGCCUGCCUCGUUUGUGGGUGGGUUGACGGUAGCUGGAUAAGAAGCGCCGGCUAACUACGUG